rnacentral:rRNA from 1 species
AGCGUACACGGUGGAUGCCCUGGCAGUCAGAGGCGAUGAAGGACGUGCUAAUCUGCGAUAAGCGUCGGUAAGGUGAUAUGAACCGUUAUAACCGGCGAUUUCCGAAUGGGGAAACCCAGUGUGAUUCGUCACACUAUCAUUAACUGAAUCCAUAGGUUAAUGAGGCGAACCGGGGGAACUGAAACAUCUAAGUACCCCGAGGAAAAGAAAUCAACCGAGAUUCCCCCAGUAGCGGCGAGCGAACGGGGAGCAGCCCAGAGCCUGAAUCAGUGUGUGUGUUAGUGGAAGCGUCUGGAAAGGCGCGCGAUACAGGGUGACAGCCCCGUACACAAAAAUGCACAUGCUGUGAGCUCGAUGAGUAGGGCGGGACACGUGGUAUCCUGUCUGAAUAUGGGGGGACCAUCCUCCAAGGCUAAAUACUCCUGACUGACCGAUAGUGAACCAGUACCGUGAGGGAAAGGCGAAAAGAACCCCGGCGAGGGGAGUGAAAAAGAACCUGAAACCGUGUACGUACAAGCAGUGGGAGCACAGGCUCUGUGUGACUGCGUACCUUUUGUAUAAUGGGUCAGCGACUUAUAUUCUGUAGCAAGGUUAACCGAAUAGGGGAGCCGAAGGGAAACCGAGUCUUAACUGGGCGUUAAGUUGCAGGGUAUAGACCCGAAACCCGGUGAUCUAGCCAUGGGCAGGUUGAAGGUUGGGUAACACUAACUGGAGGACCGAACCGACUAAUGUUGAAAAAUUAGCGGAUGACUUGUGGCUGGGGGUGAAAGGCCAAUCAAACCGGGAGAUAGCUGGUUCUCCCCGAAAGCUAUUUAGGUAGCGCCUCGUGAAUUCAUCUCCGGGGGUAGAGCACUGUUUCGGCAAGGGGGUCAUCCCGACUUACCAACCCGAUGCAAACUGCGAAUACCGGAGAAUGUUAUCACGGGAGACACACGGCGGGUGCUAACGUCCGUCGUGAAGAGGGAAACAACCCAGACCGCCAGCUAAGGUCCCAAAGUCAUGGUUAAGUGGGAAACGAUGUGGGAAGGCCCAGACAGCCAGGAUGUUGGCUUAGAAGCAGCCAUCAUUUAAAGAAAGCGUAAUAGCUCACUGGUCGAGUCGGCCUGCGCGGAAGAUGUAACGGGGCUAAACCAUGCACCGAAGCUGCGGCAGCGACGCUUAUGCGUUGUUGGGUAGGGGAGCGUUCUGUAAGCCUGCGAAGGUGUGCUGUGAGGCAUGCUGGAGGUAUCAGAAGUGCGAAUGCUGACAUAAGUAACGAUAAAGCGGGUGAAAAGCCCGCUCGCCGGAAGACCAAGGGUUCCUGUCCAACGUUAAUCGGGGCAGGGUGAGUCGACCCCUAAGGCGAGGCCGAAAGGCGUAGUCGAUGGGAAACAGGUUAAUAUUCCUGUACUUGGUGUUACUGCGAAGGGGGGACGGAGAAGGCUAUGUUGGCCGGGCGACGGUUGUCCCGGUUUAAGCGUGUAGGCUGGUUUUCCAGGCAAAUCCGGAAAAUCAAGGCUGAGGCGUGAUGACGAGGCACUACGGUGCUGAAGCAACAAAUGCCCUGCUUCCAGGAAAAGCCUCUAAGCAUCAGGUAACAUCAAAUCGUACCCCAAACCGACACAGGUGGUCAGGUAGAGAAUACCAAGGCGCUUGAGAGAACUCGGGUGAAGGAACUAGGCAAAAUGGUGCCGUAACUUCGGGAGAAGGCACGCUGAUAUGUAGGUGAAGUGACUCGCGGAUGGAGCUGAAAUCAGUCGAAGAUACCAGCUGGCUGCAACUGUUUAUUAAAAACACAGCACUGUGCAAACACGAAAGUGGACGUAUACGGUGUGACGCCUGCCCGGUGCCGGAAGGUUAAUUGAUGGGGUCAGCGCAAGCGAAGCUCUUGAUCGAAGCCCCGGUAAACGGCGGCCGUAACUAUAACGGUCCUAAGGUAGCGAAAUUCCUUGUCGGGUAAGUUCCGACCUGCACGAAUGGCGUAAUGAUGGCCAGGCUGUCUCCACCCGAGACUCAGUGAAAUUGAACUCGCUGUGAAGAUGCAGUGUACCCGCGGCAAGACGGAAAGACCCCGUGAACCUUUACUAUAGCUUGACACUGAACAUUGAGCCUUGAUGUGUAGGAUAGGUGGGAGGCUUUGAAGUGUGGACGCCAGUCUGCAUGGAGCCGACCUUGAAAUACCACCCUUUAAUGUUUGAUGUUCUAACGUGGACCCGUAAUCCGGGUUGCGGACAGUGUCUGGUGGGUAGUUUGACUGGGGCGGUCUCCUCCUAAAGAGUAACGGAGGAGCACGAAGGUUGGCUAAUCCUGGUCGGACAUCAGGAGGUUAGUGCAAUGGCAUAAGCCAGCUUGACUGCGAGCGUGACGGCGCGAGCAGGUGCGAAAGCAGGUCAUAGUGAUCCGGUGGUUCUGAAUGGAAGGGCCAUCGCUCAACGGAUAAAAGGUACUCCGGGGAUAACAGGCUGAUACCGCCCAAGAGUUCAUAUCGACGGCGGUGUUUGGCACCUCGAUGUCGGCUCAUCACAUCCUGGGGCUGAAGUAGGUCCCAAGGGUAUGGCUGUUCGCCAUUUAAAGUGGUACGCGAGCUGGGUUUAGAACGUCGUGAGACAGUUCGGUCCCUAUCUGCCGUGGGCGCUGGAGAAUUGAGGGGGGCUGCUCCUAGUACGAGAGGACCGGAGUGGACGCAUCACUGGUGUUCGGGUUGUCAUGCCAAUGGCACUGCCCGGUAGCUAAAUGCGGAAGAGAUAAGUGCUGAAAGCAUCUAAGCACGAAACUUGCCCCGAGAUGAGUUCUCCCUGACUCCUUGA